GCCAGGCAUGGUGGCUCAUGCCUGUAAUCCCAGCACUUUGGGAGGCUGAGGUGGGCGGAUCGCCUGAGGUCAGGAGUUCCAGACCAGCCUGACCAACAUGGUGAAACCCUGUCUCUA
ensembl:misc_RNA Metazoa_SRP Metazoan signal recognition particle RNA